ensembl:lncRNA
GGAAAAACAUCACCUACAUCACAAACGCGGAAGUCCGGGACGCAAUACUGAACCUGACUUUGACGGCUCUGGCUCCCAAAUUCCCUCUCUUCCAAACCAGUGACUAUGAGCUGUGGUUCCAAAUUAAUCUCGUGGUCCUGCUGGCCAGCUUCAGUCCUUCAGUUUUGGUGGUGAUCCCCGCCAACCUCACCUGCGACUCUUACGACGCAAUAUUGAAAGGCAUGGAGAACGCUUUGGCGGUUCUCCCAACUGGAGUUGGAGUGGAGCUGAAGUCAAGCAAAGACAAACUUCGACAGUCACCACCAGAAGGCUGCACGCCCCCUCGCCCUGUGGGUUUCUGCAAAGAGACAAUAGUGAAUG